rnacentral:ncRNA from 1 species
UAUUAUUUUUUGUUUUUAAUUUAAUUAGUAUACACACACACACACACACACACAUUGUCAAAAUUGGUACGAACAAGGGGAAUAUGAUUGUUUAAUUAAAAAAAUCAUUGUGAUGGUCCAUGUGGAUGCUAACACAAUGUGAUUUAUGCCCAAUGCUCUGCAUGUCAAAGUGAUCAGAAACUCAACCAAGCACGGGUUAAACGAUGGGAGUAACUAGGACUCUCUUAAGGUAGUCAGAUGCCUCGUCAUCUAAUUAGUGAUGUGCAUGAAUGGAUUAACGAGAUUCUCACUAUCCCAAGCUACUAUCUAGAGAAACCAAAACCAAGGAAACAAGCUUCGAAAAAUUAGCGGGAAAGACGACCCUGUUGAGCUUGACUCUAGUCCAACUUUGUGAAAUGACUUGAGAGGUGUAGAAUAAGUGGUAUUUGUUUUCAGCACAAGUGAAAUACCACUACUUUUAACGUCAUUUUACUUAUUUCGUGGGGCAUAGAUGAGGCAUUGCACAUAUGUUAAAAGAUAAUGCACAUUUACUCAAAGUGUUGUCUUUGAUGGCAAUGGUCGAAAGCUCAUUCUUCACACACUUGAUUGCAAUGAGUUUAGGAAACCAAAGAGAAUCAUUGCUUUUAAGGAUGGAGAAAAUUCCUAUAACAAUCCCUAUGUUUUUAGCCAACAUCCCCCUGU